rnacentral:snoRNA from 1 species
ACUCUCCAUGUAUCUUAUCCCUCGGAUCUAACUAUUGAUCUGAGUGGCUGAAAAAGGAGGAGAGUAAAGCUGACGUGGACUUGCAGUCUCUUUUGAUGUACAAGUUCAUUUCAAACCCAU